GCUUGCUCCUGGAUUCAGCGGCGGACGGGUGAGUAAUGCCUAGGAAUCUGCCUGGUAGUGGGGGAUAACGUCCGGAAACGGGCGCUAAUACCGCAUACGUCCUGAGGGAGAAAGUGGGGGAUCUUCGGACCUCACGCUAUCAGAUGAGCCUAGGUCGGAUUAGCUAGUUGGUGGGGUAAAGGCCUACCAAGGCGACGAUCCGUAACUGGUCUGAGAGGAUGAUCAGUCACACUGGAACUGAGACACGGUCCAGACUCCUACGGGAGGCAGCAGUGGGGAAUAUUGGACAAUGGGCGAAAGCCUGAUCCAGCCAUGCCGCGUGUGUGAAGAAGGUCUUCGGAUUGUAAAGCACUUUAAGUUGGGAGGAAGGGCAGUAAGUUAAUACCUUGCUGUUUUGACGUUACCAACAGAAUAAGCACCGGCUAACUUCGUGCCAGCAGCCGCGGUAAUACGAAGGGUGCAAGCGUUAAUCGGAAUUACUGGGCGUAAAGCGCGCGUAAGUGGUUCAGCAAGUUGGAUGUGAAAUCCCCGGGCUCAACCUGGGAACUGCAUCCAAA
rnacentral:rRNA from 1 species